rnacentral:rRNA from 1 species
GACGAACGCUGGCGGCGUGCUUAACACAUGCAAGUCGAACGGAAAGGCCCUGCUUUUGUGGGGUGCUCGAGUGGCGAACGGGUGAGUAACACGUGAGUAACCUGCCCUUGACUUUGGGAUAACUUCAGGAAACUGGGGCUAAUACCGGAUAGGAGCUCCUGCUGCAUGGUGGGGGUUGGAAAGUUUCGGCGGUUGGGGAUGGACUCGCGGCUUAUCAGCUUGUUGGUGGGGUAGUGGCUUACCAAGGCUUUGACGGGUAGCCGGCCUGAGAGGGUGACCGGCCACAUUGGGACUGAGAUACGGCCCAGACUCCUACGGGAGGCAGCAGUGGGGAAUAUUGCACAAUGGGCGGAAGCCUGAUGCAGCAACGCCGCGUGCGGGAUGACGGCCUUCGGGUUGUAAACCGCUUUCGCCUGUGACGAAGCGUGAGUGACGGUAAUGGGUAAAGAAGCACCGGCUAACUACGUGCCAGCAGCCGCGGUGAUACGUAGGGUGCGAGCGUUGUCCGGAUUUAUUGGGCGUAAAGGGCUCGUAGGUGGUUGAUCGCGUCGGAAGUGUAAUCUUGGGGCUUAACCCUGAGCGUGCUUUCGAUACGGGUUGACUUGAGGAAGGUAGGGGAGAAUGGAAUUCCUGGUGGAGCGGUGGAAUGCGCAGAUAUCAGGAGGAACACCAGUGGCGAAGGCGGUUCUCUGGGCCUUUCCUGACGCUGAGGAGCGAAAGCGUGGGGAGCGAACAGGCUUAGAUACCCUGGUAGUCCACGCUGUAAACGGUGGGUACUAGGUGUGGGGUCCAUUCCACGGGUUCCGUGCCGUAGCUAACGCUUUAAGUACCCCGCCUGGGGAGUACGGCCGCAAGGCUAAAACUCAAAGGAAUUGACGGGGUCCCGCACAAGCGGCGGAGCAUGCGGAUUAAUUCGAUGCAACGCGUAGAACCUUACCUGGGUUUGACAUGGAUCGGGAGUGCUCAGAGAUGGGUGUGCCUCUUUUGGGGUCGGUUCACAGGUGGUGCAUGGCUGUCGUCAGCUCGUGUCGUGAGAUGUUGGGUUAAGUCCCGCAACGAGCGCAACCCUUGUUCACUGUUGCCAGCACGUUAUGGUGGGGACUCAGUGGAGACCGCCGGGGUCAACUCGGAGGAAGGUGGGGAUGACGUCAAGUCAUCAUGCCCCUUAUGUCCAGGGCUUCACGCAUGCUACAAUGGCUGGUACAGAGAGUGGCGAGCCUGUGAGGGUGAGCGAAUCUCGGAAAGCCGGUCUCAGUUCGGAUUGGGGUCUGCAACUCGACCUCAUGAAGUCGGAGUCGCUAGUAAUCGCAGAUCAGCAACGCUACGGUGAAUACGUUCCCGGG